GACAGCAGCAGCCGCGGGAAUACAGAGGGUGCGAGCGUUAAUCGGAUUUACUGGGCGUAAAGCGUGCGUAGGCGGCUUCUUAAGUCGGAUGUUAAAUCCCUGAGCUUAACUUAGGAAUUGCAUUCGAUACUGGGAAGCUAGAGUAUGGGAGAGGAUGGUAGAAUUCCAGGUGUAGCGGUGAAAUGCGUAGAGAUCUGGAGGAAUACCGAUGGCGAAGGCAGCCAUCUGGCCUAAUACUGACGCUGAGGUACGAAAGCAUGGGGAGCAAACAGGAUUAGAUACCCGAGUAGUCCCUGUCUCUUAUAC
rnacentral:rRNA from 1 species